ACAGCACAGAAGUCAGAGAAUGCCAGCUACAUUUUAACUGGGGUCAUUCUACUAAAUUCCUGAGGAUCCCAUGGCUCAGUCCACAGGGAGAAGUGCUCUGAAUACAUAGGACAACUCUGUGUGCUUGAAGUUUAAAUUCUGAGCCUCCUACUAAAAGACAGGGAAAUACAGCACACUCCCUCUCCUCUCCUCUUUAACUACUUAUUAACUGAAACGCAAAAGCUCUUCAUCGCGGAGAGUCAUCUUCUUAAAAUGAGACCUUAUUGAAGCUGGAAAAACAGAACAUGUUGGGAGCUUUGGUUUUUAUCAAAGAGACAGCGGAUGCUUCCAUCAGGAUCACUGAGAUCUAAAUCAUUUCUGAGGGAUUGAUACGCGUUUGUCCUUGCUGAUCAUAUUAAAGUAUCUGUGCAGAAAAUAGAAUUUUGAUUUUUCUUGGGGAAGUGUCUGCCAUCUUGAUGAAAGUUCUAGAAGCUCCUCUGGUAUGUCAAGAGAGAGAGAGGGAGAGCAAGAAAGGAAGAGGAAGAGAAAGAAAGAGAGAACAAGAACAUUCAUCCAUGGACCACUCUGCUAAUGCCCUCAAUGGCUUUGUCUGUGCAGAGGCCAGUCCUAUUUCCCACAUGGAUGGAGAAGGCCAAUUCCUUGGACCAUCACUGCUGUCCCCCAGGGUCUACAUUAGCAGGAACCUGGAGUCCUAUGUCAGAGUUGGCUGACAUUUUGUACAAGAAACCACCAAUGGAAUACACGACCCCUUCAAAGCUUACUCCUCUUCCUUCAGUAUCAGUUAUUAAUACCACUCCAAAACUGAACCUGGGAGUGACAUUUGUUUGGUGGAGAAGACAUCGCUUGGGACACUCAUAUUCCAUAUUAGAAUUCCUGGAUUCUGGGGCCAGAGCUUUGGCAUAGUGGGUAAAGCCACUGCCUGUGGGGCCAGCAACCCACGGAAACACUGGUUCCAGUCCCAGCUGCUCUACUUCCAAUCCAGCUCCCUUCUAAUGCGCCUGGGAAAGCAGUGGAAUAUGGCCCAACUCCUUGGACCCCUGCAUCCAUGAAGGAGACCUGGAAGAAGCUGCUGGCUCCUGCUUCGGAGUGGCCCAGCUCCAGCCAUUGUGGUCAUUUGAGGUAAUGAACCAGUAGAUGGAAGAUUUCUCUCUCUCCUCUCUCUCUCUCAU